CUAUAAAUUUUGACAGAUUGAUGACACUUGUAAAAACUGUGGAGUCUUGUUUUCUUCUUCAAGUCAUCAGCUCCUUCUAUAGAUAAUGAUUUUUGAGAAACUAUCAAAUCAAGACGUUGGAAUGUUACCUUAUAUGGUUAAUGUCGUUUGAAAAGACAUUUCAAAUCCAUUGCUGCAAAUAGAAUUAUCCAUUUUAUUCCCUUUAUUC
rnacentral:lncRNA from 1 species